rnacentral:miRNA from 1 species
CUCCUGGUAGUGGUGUUUGCUCAAAGAGAGAUUAUCCUUCUUGGUUUUGCUUUGAUUGUCAUUAACAUGCAUAGGGCAAUCUCUCUGAGAAGCGAGUGCCUGCCUG